UGUGAGAUACAGUGAACCCUCCUUCUCCUCCUCCUCCCUGUGCUUGUCUGGACUGGAGCCCGUGGGGAGCUGUCCUCCCCCCACGCGCACAGAGGCUUUAUCCUUCUGGCUUAUAAUUGUGCAAAUGAGCUUCUUCCCACAGCACCUCUUCCUCGCCCUCCCCCAGGACUGAUCCCCAGCCACACUGGCAGCUUCCCCCCGGGAUAAAUCCCCUCAAACCCCUCUCCCAGGACCGAUGUCCAGCGCCCUCUCCUCCCCAGGGACCCAUCCCACUGCACCCCUGGCACCCCACUGGUCCCACUGCCCUUUCUGGCCUUCCUCCACCCACUGCCCCAAGAAUCCCUCUGCACCCCCAGACACCCAACCCUGGCCCCACUGUGCUCCAGGAGACAACACAGCAAUUCCAGCCACAGGAAUUCCAGCCUCGGGAUCCCUCUGGAGACCCCAGCACAAGGUAGGGAGCCCACCCGCCGGGAUAAGGUGGUUUUGGACAAGCCCCCCUCGGAUGUGGCUCUCCCAGGGGUCCCCAAGGGGGCACUGGACACUGCCACUGCCUGAGCCCAGGGGAGGCGUGAGCAGCCGAGUUGGCAGUGGAGUCAAAGAUCGUGGCCAGCGCGGCCAAAUUGCACAUUCUGCCCAGUUUGGCCCUGAAACUACAGAGCUACAAUAAAAACAAGUUCAGGAGCGGCACCUGCUCAGGCAGCCAGAGCGGGGGAACGUGGCCCCGUGGGGCAGAGCAGGAAUCCCUGCCGGGCGGGCGGCUGGACAUCCCCCAGGAUCAUCCUGCCCACCUGCAGGGACACCCGGCCGGGCAGGAGCAGCAGUGGGAGCCGGGAGGAGGGUCCUGCCUCCUCCAGGUGGCACCGCUGGGUGCCGGGGCCGCAGAGUGGCAGCAGUGCCACUCGGGGAAGGCAGGGCUGGGGCACAAGGGACACGAGGGGCACGAGGGGCAUGAGGGGCACGAGGGACACGAGGCAGCGGGAGCGAGCAGGCGCCUUCUGCCGCCUUUCCUUUGUCCCCCGGGCUCGGCUGGCACCGUGUCCCCUCGGGUGGUCCUGCCACCACCCCAACUGAGGGAGAGGAGCUGCUCAGAGCGGGGUGCUGGAGGGGAAGAGGCUGGGCAGGGGGGUCCCGACAGGCACUACAGCUAUGGCAGGGCAGGCCCUGCCCCGGCCCAGCCCAGCCCUGCAGGGUCCCUGUGCCCCCAGAGCCCAGCAGAGCCCUGUGCCAGCCCCGCGGGGCCAGAGGAUGCUCCAUCCUGCCCUCCUCGCUCCCCCAGGAAGAUGCCAGAGCUGGAGACGGGAAGCACAAGGGUGCAGCACGGCCCCUCCCGCGGCCCAGCGGGUGAGGUCUGGCGAGGGCUACC
rnacentral:lncRNA from 1 species